CCAUAAAAAAUGUCAACCUGAACGGCCCCUUUGAACCAAAUGCCUGACACCGGGGGCUGCCCCCGUGCCGCUCUAUAGGUGCAUGCGCCUGUCGGCUUGUCCCUCGGCAUGGUUGGUGCUUGGCAAAAAAUGUCAACCUGAACGGCCCCUUUGAACCAAAUGCCUGGCACCGGGGGCUGCCCCCGUGCCGCUCUAUAGGUGCAUGCGCCCGUCGGCUUGUCCCUCGGCAUGGUUGGUGCUUGGCAAAAAAUGUCAACCUGAACGGCCCCUUUGAACCAAAUGCCUGGCACCGGGGGCUGCCCCCGUGCCGCUCUAUA